rnacentral:rRNA from 1 species
CCUACGGGAGGCUGCAGUGGGGAAUAUUGGACAAUGGGGGCAACCCUGAUCCAGCCAUGCCGCGUGUGUGAAGAAGGCCCUCGGGUUGUAAAGCACUUUCAGUGAGGAAGAACGCCUGGUGGUUAAUACCCAUCAGGAAAGACAUCACUCACAGAAGAAGCACCGGCUAACUCCGUGCCACAGCCGCGGUAAUACGGAGGGUGCGAGCGUUAAUCGGAAUUACUGGGCGUAAAGCGCGCGUAGGUGGCUUGAUAAGCCGGUUGUGAAAGCCCCGGGCUCAACCUGGGAACGGCAUCCGGAACUGUCAAGCUAGAGUGCAGGAGAGGAAGGUAGAAUUCCCGGUGUAGCGGUGAAAUGCGUAGAGAUCGGGAGGAAUACCAGUGGCGAAGGCGGCCUUCUGGACUGACACUGACACUGAGGUGCGAAAGCGUGGGUAGCAAACAGGAUUAGAUACCCUUGUAGUC